UUCAGAACUUUAAAGAGAACUUCCUUGGGCAGUUCAGCCGGAGCCAGCGUAGCCAACUUGGAGAGGAGAUCGGCCUUGGUAUUUUUCAUUCUUGGAAUCUGCCUAAUGUUGAAGCUACUAAAGGCUGGGACGAUCUCCUUUACCUUUUCAAGAUAUUUGGCCAUGUUGUCCUCUUGUGCUUCGUAGUUUUUGCUGACUUGUCCCACU
rnacentral:lncRNA from 1 species